UAAAUAGCGCCCUCAAGUGCUAAAUCAACGCGAUUUUUUUACAACACGGCCGGAGGCGCGACAUUGUAACUUCAUGAAUUUUGGUGAUUACUACCGGUAUCAGUGGAAGUCAAGGAGAGAAAAGAUGGCAAGACUCCAUCUGAGAUUUGCUCUUGGCUAGACCAGAACUUGCCACUGGAAAUUUGACAGUCAAAUUGAGAGUUCAUGGGUCCAUUCUUGGCAUACAUCUAGCAAUGCAGCUUCACAUACAGCAGGUGAAAGUACUGGAAAUGGAAAGCUAGUAUGGUGUAAUGUGUACACCUUGCAUGCAGCUAAUUACUGACACCGGGUACAUGUACAGAGACUGAAGAAUCAGGUUGUUGCUGCCUGCGGCACCUGAAUCCAAUGACCCAGGAAAUACAGAACAACGGAGCAAGAGGAUACAGGAAGUCCGACGUUCCGUGAGAUGAAGAAUCCCCCGUGGUCAUUGUGGGAUCUCUGUUCUUUGUAUGAGUGUGCUAGUGAUGACUCAUCUUGAUCAGAAUUUUAGCAGCCACAGAGAAUUACUGUAAGACUUCAGAAGAUGGUGUGGUUCUGAACUGAAUUGCUAUGGAAAGAGGGGGUUGUAAGUAUUUGGCAGUUCCUGUGUGUAAAUAUUGUACAUAUAAUGCCUGAAUCUGAAAAAGACAGUUUAUAUUAAGGUUUAAAUUUAUACCUCUUUGCUAGGUGCCGGUAUGCCCUGAGAAUGGGCGUCAAGAAAACAUUUAUUCAUUUCUCUCGCACCAAAGAGUACUGUUGGGCUGCCUAUCUUUGUCAAACUGCAAGUUUAGAUUAUUCACAAUGAAUUCGGAUAAAAAUACCCUUUUUUCUUGGCAAGGAAAUUUACCUGUUUUUUAAACCAAAAAACUAAGAACUUCAACAACUUUGAAUUGAUUUCAAUCAAGGG
rnacentral:lncRNA from 1 species